UCUCUCUCUGCUCUUCUGUGCCUCCCCAUUCUUCUAUCAAUGAUCAAUCUAUCCUAGCAUAAAGCAUCCAUAUGUGAUUUUUUUGAAGUACAGAAUCAAACUGUGUUGUUUUUGCUGUCCUGAUGAAAAUUGUUGAUAAAUAAUGAGAGGUAUUGGAGAAAAGAAUUAGAUAUUGGUAUUGGUAUUUGGUAAUUACCAUUUGUUUGAUUGUUAUCAUAUUUGCUAUCCAGUACAUGAAAACACGGUCAUGAGAAAUCAUACACAUAAUUUACUAUAUCCAGUACAUGAACAGUUGACCAGUGACAUGAUAACGAUUUGUGUGAUUGUUUGCCAUUCUAACAAGUUACUCUAACAGUGCCACUCUACCAAAGUAACAAGGCCACAUAGUCUUCUUUGAACUUCUAAAGGUAUUAAUUAUGUACAGUUCUCUUAUGCAAAAUUGAUAAUUUUAGUAUGCAUGUAAGACCAUAUUGAUCUAUUUGUAUGUGCUAUUGUUAAAUUAAUCAGAACGUUGGCAUUUCAUAUAUGUUGCCACUUUUUUUUGGUGGACUGCCCUGUUUUGAAAUCCACCACUGCAUUGUUGUCAGAUAUGUUAUUUUUGCCCCCUGUCACUCAAAGCAGUUACUAUAUUUAUUUUUGUUACACAGUGUAUCAAUGGAUUUAGAAUCUAUAAAGGAGCUAUUGCUUUCUCCUAGACCAAGUGAGGAAUGCUUGGCUGGUGUAGCUGGUUUUCUUGACUUUGCGUACAUAGAGGGCAAGUCAAAGAAUAAUUUUAAGGCACGACUUGACCUGCAGGACAUGAAAAUCAGGCCAGAGCUACAUCCUAAAAAUAAACCUACUGACGAGUAUUUUCUUCUAGCUGCUUCUUAUACCAUGUCAAAGAAAGAGAAGCAUCAGUUUUUCAAAGUACUUCAUGAUAUAAAAGUUCCAGAUAGUUACUUGGGGAACUCAAAAAAACAGAAGGAACAGUUUUGCAAAGUACUUCGUGAUAUAAAAGUUCCAGACGGGUAUUUGGAGGAAUGAGGAAAUUUUGCCAGCGGAGAUUAGAAGGAUUGUUCUAAAAGGGUGCAUGAAGCUAUGCGCUCUUUUAGGACAUUUUUAUGUCUGCAUAGUUUUUGCUCUUCAAACAUGAAGCUUGAAAAAAAUACGAAACUUUGUACUGAGUUAAGCUUUAUGUAAGACGGAUUGUCAUUGGAAAUAGAUAGACACAUUUUUGUCAAAGAACUAUUAUGUCAAAUUUACCAUCUUUCAAACUAA